rnacentral:sRNA from 1 species
GCUGGGCGUGGUGGCACACACCUGUAAUCCCAGUGGCUGAGGAGGCUGAGGCAGGAGGGUCAUGAGUUCAAAGCUAGCCUAAGCAAUGGUGAGGCGCUAAGUAACUCAGUGAGACCCUGUCUCUA